rnacentral:rRNA from 1 species
GAUGAACGCUGACAGAAUGCUUAACACAUGCAAGUCUACUUGAAUUUGGGUUUUUAACUUAGAUUUGGGUGGCGGACGGGUGAGUAACGCGUAAAGAACUUGCCUCACAGCUAGGGACAACAUUUAGAAAUGAAUGCUAAUACCUAAUAUUAUGAUAAUAGGGCAUCCUAUAAUUAUGAAAGCUAUAUGCGCUGUGAGAGAGCUUUGCGUCCCAUUAGCUAGUUGGAGAGGUAACAGCUCACCAAGGCGAUGAUGGGUAGCCGGCCUGAGAGGGUGAUCGGCCACAAGGGGACUGAGACACGGCCCUUACUCCUACGGGAGGCAGCAGUGGGGAAUAUUGGACAAUGGACCGAGAGUCUGAUCCAGCAAUUCUGUGUGCACGAUGAAGUUUUUCGGAAUGUAAAGUGCUUUCAGUUGGGAAGAAAGAAAUGACGGUACCAACAGAAGAAGUGACGGCUAAAUACGUGCCAGCAGCCGCGGUAAUACGUAUGUCACGAGCGUUAUCCGGAUUUAUUGGGCGUAAAGCGCGUCUAGGUGGUUAUAUAAGUCUGAUGUGAAAAUGCAGGGCUCAACUCUGUAUUGCGUUGGAAACUGUAUAACUAGAGUACUGGAGAGGUAAGCGGAACUACAAGUGUAGAGGUGAAACUCGUAGAUAUUUGUAGGAAUGCCGAUGGGGAAGCCAGCUUACUGGACAGAUACUGACGCUGAAGCGCGAAAGCGUGGGUAGCAAACAGG